rnacentral:rRNA from 1 species
UAGGGAAUCUUCGGCAAUGGACGAAAGUCUGACCGAGCAACGCCGCGUGAGUGAAGAAGGUUUUCGGAUCGUAAAACUCUGUUGUUAGAGAAGAACAAGGACGUUAGUAACUGAACGUCCCCUGACGGUAUCUAACCAGAAAGCCACGGCUAACUACGUGCCAGCAGCCGCGGUAAUACGUAGGUGGCAAGCGUUGUCCGGAUUUAUUGGGCGUAAAGCGAGCGCAGGCGGUUUCUUAAGUCUGAUGUGAAAGCCCCCGGCUCAACCGGGGAGGGUCAUUGGAAACUGGGAGACUUGAGUGCAGAAGAGGAGGGUGGAAUUCCAUGUGUAGCGGUGAAAUGCGUAGAUAUAUGGAGGAACACCAGUGGCGAAGGCGACUCUCUGGUCUGUAACUGACGCUGAGGCUAGAAAGCGUGGGGAGCAAACAGG